UACGUAGGGUGCGAGCGUUGUCCGGAAUUAUUGGGCGUAAAGGGCUCGUAGGCGGUUUGUCACGUCAGGAGUGAAAACUCGGGGCUCAACCCCGAGCCCGCUUCUGAUACGGGCAGACUAGAGGUAUGCAGGGGAGAACGGAAUUCCUGGUGUAGCGGUGAAAUGCGCAGAUAUCAGGAGGAACACCGGUGGCGAAGGCGGUUCUCUGGGCAUUACCUGACGCUGAGGAGCGAAAGUGUGGGGAGCGAACAGG
rnacentral:rRNA from 1 species